AAUUAGAAAGUGAAUUAUCACGUUUAGUUUCGACCUAAAUUUUAGGCUUUAUAGCCUUCUAAUUU
rnacentral:tRNA from 1 species